rnacentral:rRNA from 1 species
ACGGGGCCCGCACAAGCGGUGGAGCAUGUGGUUUAAUUCGAUGCAACGCGAAGAACCUUACCUGGGCUUGACAUCCCGGGAAUCCCCUGGAAACAGGGGAGUGCCCUUCGGGAACCCGGUGACAGGUGCUGCAUGGCUGUCGUCAGCUCGUGUCGUGAGAUGUUGGGUUAAGUCCCGCAACGAGCGCAACCCUUGUCUUUAAUUGCCAUCAUUUAGUUGGGGCACUUUAAAGAGACUGCCGGUGUUAAGCCGGAGGAAGUGGGGAUGACGUCAAGUCCUCAUGGCCUUUAUGCCCAGGGCUACACACGUGCUACAAUGGCCGGUACAAAGGGCUGCAAUACCGCAAGGUGGAGCGAACCCCAAAAAGCCGGUCUCAGUUCGGAUUGCAGGCUGCAAUUCGCCUGCAUGAAGUCGGAAUCGCUAGUAAUCGCAGGUCAGCAUACUGCGGUGAAUACGUUCCCGGGCCUU